AAAUGAAAUCGGAUCAUUUCAUUUUACGUUCAUUUUGAUCAUCAUCAUCAUCAUCUUUAUUAUUAUGGAUAACAUGUGAAAUAACAACUAUCUGGCAUUUAAAAUAUUUGAUCCAAUUACAUUUUUUUUUGUCAAAGUUUUUUCUUUCAUAGAUUACCAGACAGCUAUCAUAUAUCGUAUUGUUCUGGAUGUUUCUAUGGAUUGGACGAUAGAAUACUUCAUUGGUUGAUUGGUUAGUUAUAGUUGUCACCAAUGGAAACAACAAUGUCGUUGGUGUAAAUCGAGAAAAAAAAAUUAAACCGACAACCGAAUCAAAUAAUGGUGGAAAGUAUAGAGAAAAAAAACCGUUGUCAUCGUUGUUCUUCAGAGGUGUGGGUGGAGGUGAUAUUAUAGAUGGUGAGAAAAAAAAAUCAGCCAUGUAUUUUGAACAGAUUUGAAUCAUUGGCCACCAUUCAUAAAAGAGAGUGAAUGAAAGAGAGAUCGAUGUUAUAUUAAUUGCUUCAUCAUCGAAGCCAAACAGUGGCUAAACGUUCGACAUGAAAUAUAUUGAUUAUCGAUCAAUUAAUUCAGUAAAUGAAAAUGAUUUUUCGAUUUAGCAACAACAACAACAGCAUCAAUUCAAUUGAAGACAAUGAUCAUCAUCUUUCAUCAAGCACAUAAUUCGGUGAUUCUCAUUUAAUAAUGGAAUAAUAAAACAUUUUUCUUAUUGAUUCAAACUUACCUGAGAAUGUUUAAUCAAAACAACAAAAAAAAAAAAACUCAAAAUGAUUUUCAUCAUUUGAUUCCCGUAUUUUAAAAGAUCACUAGCUACAUGAUUUUUGCUCAAAUCAACUAUCAGCUACAAAUGUAUUUGAUCGAUGAUGGCAGUAAUAGUAAUCGAAAAGGGUGUCCUGAUCUUUUUUUUCUUUAUCUUCUUCCGAUCAAUUUUGAUGAUGAUAAUGAUGACGAAACGUGUUACUCACUCUCUUUUAGUUCACUAUUAUCAUUUAUUAUUAUCGAUAUCAUCAACGUCAUUGUUGGCCGAUUAAUUGAUUGAUUGAUUGCUCAAUUAUCGCCACAAUAAAUAAAAAAAAGCAAGUAAAAUAAUGGAUAAUGUCGGCAUAUCGAUAUUGUUGUUGCUGUUGUUGUUGUCGAUAUCAUCGAUUGUGAUUGUAGAUUGAAUACAAGCCAAAUCGAUUGUUUUAGAAUGAAAAUUUUUUUUAGUACAAAAUGCCAAAUAAGUCAUAUAUAAUAAUGACGAUGAUGAUGAUGAUGAAUCAACUGUAUUUUGAACCAGAUUGGGUCCCAAUGUAAAUAUUCAACAAUAACCGAGAACAAUUUUGAUACCAUUCAAACUACAAAUUUUAAUUACGAUCAGAUUUUCUAACAAAAUAAUUUUGGCCAGAACCGUAUUUGACAUUACAAAUUUCCCAUGAUAUACUAAAUUGAACAUUUGAUUAUAAUUUGUAAAUUUGUCAUCAUCAUCAUCAUCAUCAUCAUUGUACGAUUCCGAUUCGGGUAAGUACAUUCAAAUUUGUCAUUUUUUUCAAUUUCACCUGAUUUGGUCAUUGGAACAACAUUAAUUUUUCAUCAUUUUCGAAUAAUUGAAUUGAUGCCAUCGAGGCUAUCUUAAAAAAUUGACAACAUGUUUUUUUUUGAUUAAUUCAGAGAAAAAAAAAUUUUUUUGAAAUCGAAACGAAACAGCUAGCCCAAUACAAUACGGUUAUGUUGUAUCGAAUUCGAGGCCGAUAUUAAGAUAGAUCGUAUGGUAUCUAUUCCGUUAUCGUAAACAUCAUCAUCAUCAUCAACGAUAUCGAUACUAUCAAGUUUUUUUUCUCAAAAAAAAGUAAACUAAAUUAGA